CUUCAUGUAAAAAAUAUGAAAUCGUGCCUGCUCACUGAUUAUUAAAGAGCCGCGGUAAUUUGACCGUGCAAAGGUAGCAUAAUCAUUAGUCUUUUAAUUGAGGGCUGGAAUGAAUGGUUUGACGAAAUAAUAACUGUCUCGUUAUUAGUAAUUGAAUUUUACUUUUAAGUUAAAAGGCUUAAAUUUUGGAAGGGGACGAGAAGACCCUAUAGAUCUUUAUAAAUGUAUGUUUUUAUAUUGAUUGGUAAGUAUGUGAUGAUUAUUGUGUAUGUAAAAAUUGAUAUUUAUUUUGUUGGGGUGACAAAAGAAUAUAAAAACUUCUUUAAAUAUAAACUUUGAUGAGUGGAUGUUUGAUCCUUUAUUAUGGAAAAUAAGAUUAAGAUACCUUAGGGAUAACAGCGUAAUUUUAUUUGAGAGUUCUUAUUGACAAUAAAGAUUGCGACCUCGAUGUUGGAUUAAGAUAAUAUGUUAAUGCAGUAGUUAACUAUAUUGGUCUGUUC
rnacentral:rRNA from 1 species